rnacentral:rRNA from 1 species
GACGAACGCUGGCCGCGUGCCUAACACAUGCCUGUCGAGCGAUGACGCUCCUUCGGGAGUGGAUUAGCGGCGGACGGGUGAGUAACACGUCGGUAACCUGCCUCAUAGAGAGGGAUAGCCUUCUGCAAGGCAGCUCACUACCCCACAAGAUUGUAGUUUCGCAUGACACGGGAAUAAAAGGAGCAAUCCUCUAUGAGAUGGACCCGCGUCGCAUUAGCUAGUUGGUAAGUUAAUGGAAUACCAAGGCGACGAUGCGUAGCCGACCGGCGAGGGUGAUCGGCCACAUUGGGACUGAGACACGGCCCAGACUCCUACGGGAGGCAGCAGUGAGGAAUAUUGCACAAUGAGGGAAACCCUGAUGCAGCAACGCCGCGUGAGUGAUAACGGUCUUCGGAUUGUAAAGCUCUGUCUUUGGGGACGAUAAUGACGGUACCCAAGGAGGAAGCCACGGCUAACUACGUGCCAGCAGCCGCAGUAACAC